rnacentral:rRNA from 1 species
GUGGUGUGCUUAGAAAUCUACAUCAGAGGUACUGGUCAGGCUUUGUUGGCGGGUGUGCACUUUGGCGCCCCUUCUUCAUUCUAGGGAGAUUCAUAGGAGUAAUCCAGAAGGAGUUAUGCACAACUUCCUCAAAUGGCUACAGCAAGGUUUACUAGCUAGGAGUUGGUUGAGGUUUUACCCACUGAUGGUUUCUAUUCUUUGUGCAGGAAUUUCUAGUGCACCAAGGGAGGAAGGGCCUGCUCUUGGUACACAAGACAAGCUAGAGAACAAACAAAGGCUCAACUGAUGCUUUCCUAAAGAGAGCUUCCGUCAACUGAACUUGAUAUGAUGUUAAUGCUGGAAGCUAUUGCUUGAUGUUUCCUUUGGCCUAUCACGUGAGUACCUGCUGCAAAUAUCCUGCUACUAUUGUUGAAGUUCAUGUUAUCCAGUAAAUUGGUUGUAUGUAUUAUCAGUUUCUCGCUAUUGCUCGAUACCUUUGGCCUAUCACAUGAGUACCUGCUGCAAAUAUCCUGCUACUAUUGUUGAAGUUCAUGUUACCUAGUAAACUGGUUGUAUGUACUAUCAGUUUCUCAUUGCCUGACUGAUGACCUAAGGGUUUAAAGUUUAGUAGAAAUAUUCCCAGUCGACCAGAUUCGGAAUGGCGUGGUGCCGGUGCAGUGGUGCCGGGAUGAAGGUGCAGUCGUUGCAGUCCCGUGCAGCGCUGGCUCAUGCAAAUGCCCUAUCCGCGGCAUAG